rnacentral:snoRNA from 1 species
GUUCCUGAUGAGGUAAUUUGCGUUUGAUUCUGACUGUUGGCGCCCUCGCCGGGGUUGCUAUAGCAGUUGGUUAAAUGACAUUUAUUUCUUACAUAUUCUGAAU